CUUAUAAUACCUCUGUUGCUUUGGCAGUUCUGCUGGUUAAGCGGCCCUGCCAGAGGACCCCCAACUCUGAGAGUUAGUGUCGUCUGAGUACUAUAUAAUAGUUAAAACUUUCAACAACGGAUCUCUUGGUUCUGGCAUCGAUGAAGAACGCAGCGAAAUGCGAUAAGUAAUGUGAAUUGCAGAAUUUAGUGAAUCAUCGAAUCUUUGAACGCACAUUGCGCCCCUUGGCAUUCCGAGGGGCAUGCCUGUUCGAGCGUCAUUACAACCCCUCAAGCUCUGCUUGGUGUUGGGCAUCGCCAGUCUUGGUGUGCCUUAAAAUCAGUGGCGGUGCCAUCUGGCCCUCAGCAUAGUAGUAUUUCUCUUGCUAUAGGGACCUGGUAGGUGCCUGCCAUCUCAACCCCCUAGUUAUUAUCAAGGUUGACCUCGGAUCAGGUAGGGAUACCCGCUGAACUUAAGCAUAUCAAUAAGCGG
rnacentral:rRNA from 1 species